GAAAGUGCCUAAAGACGAGCUCGCGCCUGAUUAGCUAGUUGGUGGGGUAAAGGCCUACCAAGGCGACGAUCAGUAGCUGGUUUGAGAGAAUGAUCAGCCACACUGGAACUGAGACACGGUCCAGACUCCUGCGGGAGGCAGCAGUGGGGAAUUUUCCGCAAUGGGCGAAAGCCUGACGGAGCAAUACCGCGUGAGGGAUUAAGGCCUGUGGGUUGUAAACCUCUUUUCUCAAGGAAGAAUCAAUGACGGUACUUGAGGAAUAAGCAUCGGCUAACUCCGUGCCAGCAGCCGCGGUAAUACGGGGGAUGCAAGCGUUAUCCGGAAUUAUUGGGCGUAAAGCGUCUGUAGGUUGUUUAAUAAGUCUGUUGUUAAAGACUGGGGCUUAACCCCAGGAAAGCAAUAGAAACUGUUAGGCUAGAGUAUGGUAGAGGUAGAGGGAAUUCCUAGUGUAGCGGUGAAAUGCGUAGAUAUUAGGAAGAACACCGGUGGCGAAAGCGCUCUGCUGGGCCAUAACUGACACUCAGAGACGAAAGCUAGGGUAGCAAAUGGGAUUAGAUACCCCAGUAGUCCUAGCCGUAAACGAUGGAUACUAGAUGUUGCGUAACUCGAUUAUGCAGUGUUCUAGCUAACGCGUUAAGUAUCCCGCCUGGGGAGUACACUCGCAAGGGUGAAACUCAAAGGAAUUGACGGGGGCCCGCACAAGCGGUGGAGCAUGUGGUUUAAUUUGAUGCAACGCGAAGAACCUUACCAAGGCUUGACAUGUCACGAAUCUUUUUGAGAAGAAAGAGUGCCCUCGGGAACGUGAACACAGGUGGUGCAUGGCUGUCGUCAGCUCGUGUCGUGAGAUGUUGGGUUAAGUCCCGCAACGAGCGCAACCCUUGUCUUUAGUUACCAUCAUUUAGUUGGGGACUCUAGAGAGACUGCCGGUGACAAACCGGAGGAAGGUGAGGACGACGUCAAGUCAGCAUGCCCCUUAUGCCUUGGGCUACACACGUGCUACAAUGGCUAAGACAAAGAGCAGCAAGCUUGUGAAAGUUAGCAAAUCUCGUAAACUU
rnacentral:rRNA from 1 species